rnacentral:rRNA from 1 species
GACGAACGCUGGCGGCGUGCUUAACACAUGCAAGUCGAACGGAAAGGCCCUGCUUUUGUGGGGUGCUCGAGUGGCGAACGGGUGAGUAACACGUGAGUAACCUGCCCUUGACUUUGGGAUAACUUCAGGAAACUGGGGCUAAUACCGGAUAGGAGCUCCUGCUGCAUGGUGGGGGUUGGAAAGUUUCGGCGGUUGGGGAUGGACUCGCGGCUUAUCCGCUUGUUGGUGAGGUAGUGGCUUACCAAGGCUUUGAGGGGUAGCCGGCCUGAGAGGGUGACCGGCCCAACGGGAAUUGAGAGGCGGUACAGACUCCUACGGGAGGCAGCAGGAGGGAAGCUUACGCACUGGGCGCAAGCCUGAGGGAGCAACGCCGCGUGAGUGAUGAACUUCUUCGGAUCGUAAAACUCUGUUAUUAGGGAAGAACAAAGGUGUAAGUAAAUAUGCACGGCGUGACGGUACAUAAUCAGAAAGCAACGGCUAACGACGUG